rnacentral:rRNA from 1 species
CGCCUAAGAAUUAAUCACAGGUAGAAUCUGCCCAAUGAAAAUUUAAUGGCCGCAGUAUCCUGACUGUGCUAAGGUAGCAUAAUCAUUUGCUCUUUAAUUGAGAACUCGUAUGAACGAUUUGACAUAGAGUUCACUGUUUCAGUUAUAAUAAUAUAAAUUAUUAUUAAAGUUAAAAAUCUUUAAAACUUAAAGGGACGACAAGACCCUAUAAAACUUUACUUCAAAUUUAAACCUAAACCCGCAUAAUAUAUCAUUAAUAAAGAAGUUCUACUGGGGCGGUAAAACUUAAUUUCCACCACCUUUAACUCUAACCUCAUAUAUGAAAUUUACAAUCUUAAAUAUAACACCAAUAACAAGUUACUUUAGGGAUAACAGCACUAUAUUUUCUAAGAGCCCAUAUCGCCGAAAUUGUUUGUGACCUCGAUGUUGAAUUGAGGCCCCUUUAUAGGGCAGCCCCUAUAAGAGGAAGUCUGUUCGACUUAUAAUUCCUC